rnacentral:pre_miRNA from 12 species
AAAGCUGUUGUGUCACUUCCUCAUGCUGACAUGUUUACUAGAGGGUAAAACUGAUAACCGUCUAGUAAGAGUGGCAGUCGAAGGGAAGGGCUCAU